rnacentral:rRNA from 1 species
GAAAUUUUGCAGCUUAACUGUAAAAGUGCCGUUGAUACUGUGAGGCUAGGAUUUGGUUGCUGUGGGUGGAAUGUGUGGUGUAGCGGUGAAAUGCUUAGAGAUCACACAGAAUAUCGAUUGCGAAGGCAGCUCACAAAGCCAAGAUUGACGCUGAGGCACGAAAGUGUGGGGAUCAAACAGGAUUAGAUACCCUGGUAGUCCACACUGUAAACGAUGAUAACUCGCUGUCGGCGAUAUACAGUCGGUGGCCAAGCGAAAGCGAUAAGUUAUCCACCUGGGGAGUACGACCGCAAGGUUGAAACUCAAAGGAAUUGACGGGGGCCCGCACAAGCGGAGGAACAUGUGGUUUAAUUCGAUGAUACGCGAGGAACCUUACCCGGGCUCGAACGGUGCAGGAAUAUGGUAGAGAUAUCAUAGCUAGCAAUAGUCUGUAUCGAGGUGCUGCAUGGUUGUCGUCAGCUCGUGCCGUGAGGUGUCGGCUUAAGUGCCAUAACGAGCGCAACCCUUGUCAUUAGUUACCAUCAGGUCAAGCUGGGGACUCUAAUGAGACUGCCACCGUAAGGUGAGAGGAAGGGGGGGAUGACGUCAAAUCAGCACGGCCCUUAUGUCCGGGGCGACACACGUGUUACAAUGGGGGGUACAGAGGGCAGCCAUCCGGCGACGGAGCGCCAAUCUCAAAAACCCUUCUCAGUUCGGAUUGGAGUCUGCAACCCGACUCCAUGAAGUUGGAUUCGCUAGUAAUCGCGCAUCAGCCAUGGCGCGGUGAAUACGUUCCCGGGCCUUGUACACACCGCCCGUCAAGCCAUGGAAGCUUGGGGUGCCUGAAGUUCGUGACCGCAAGGAGCGACCUAG